rnacentral:lncRNA from 1 species
UAAUAUGCACGACUUCAACUAUUUAAAGACCACUCAUUUACCUCCUAGAUAAUAUAUUAGCUCCCUGAACUCGUCCCUAAGUGAUUCCAAGUGAAAAGAGGGUGAAACAGCCAAAGAGAAUUAGAAGCAAGAAGCUGGAAUUUCUGAACAGCUUUGUUACUCCACAGUUUUGAGGUUUGUUUCUAUUAUUUCUUAAGGGGUUUAUGAUUUCUUGAACAUCUGAAGUUGUUUGUGAUUAAUUUGGAGUGUUGUUAAUGAUGUUAUGAUGCCUAAAUAGGGGUAAUUAAUGGCAAGAAUUUGAAAGAAAUUAAUCUGGACAGAGAUGAGGAAUUGCUGGAUUGAGUGAUUUAUACCUUGAUUUUGGGAUGAUACUUAGUGUUUAACUUAUAUAUAUCAAUAUGAACGUUUUUAUAUGUAAGUAGGGAGUGUCAGAUUCUGUCCAUUUGGGUAUUUAAUGUGAUUUCAACAUUUAGAUGUCCCCUAAUGAACUCUUGGGCCUAGAAAAUAUAUCCUAAGGAAUACUAGGUUGUUGAAAACAAUUGGAUGACGUUGACGUUCAUAAUUGGACUCGAGAGAUAGCGAGACUUAUUGGAUUAGUUUGUAAUGCCAUCGGUAACUUGAAAUGAUGAUUCCGUCUAAAUUAUUUUGGUGAGAAUGGACGUAUUUUGGGAUUUUGUGCGUUAAGGUUAUUAAAUUGAGGAUUCUCUUUAAUAUUAAAUGGUAAUACAGGUGAUUUUUUGACUUCGAGUCAAAAAGGAUAUUGAUCUAAUCUUCAUAGGAACUUGCACACACAAAGAUGAAAGGUAAGUGAAAAUCCAUUUGCAACUACAAUGCAAGAACCUAGUAUAUGUGACAUAGUAAUGUUGAAAUAUCUACAUAACUUUGAUAAGAGGCUUAUAACACAUAAUAUGGUGGUUACUAUCAUUGAGUAUGAGAUUGCGUAACCUAUUGACAUCGAUUUUCAUUUAUGAGCAUUUUCAUAUGCAUGCACGACAUGUAACAUGAUUGAAAAUACUGCAUGCAAAAUAUGAUUUCAAAGUGAGUUUCAUUAUAAAUGUUUUAUUGACCACUACUAGGGCACCGAGGCAUGUGAGGCAUGCUUAUGUGAUAUGUUUAGCAUUGCGGGUGUUACUUCCUGGGUGAUUGCAAAGGUAGAUAGGGGAUGGGCCUUUAGUGAUCACGGGAGGGCGGACCACUCGACUAUGCCCUUGUUAUGAUUAUUGGCGCUGCCAGGUGGGAGACUUCUUGGGUGAUCAUAGGGGCAGUCAGGGGAUGGGCCUUUAGUGGUCACGAAAGGAUGGUCCACUUGUCGGUGUCGAUUUCAUACUGGCCAUUUGAUUAUUGAUAUUGAUAUUAUGCAGAGUUCUAUCCGGUGCAUAGUAGGUGGGUAAAGGGCCCAAUGAAAUGAAAGAUUUCAAGUGAAAUGAUUUCUAGUCGACUUUGACGAACAUUGAAAUAUGAUAUUUUUAUCGUGAUAUUUAAAGUAAAUGGUAUGGUGUCAUAUGUUGUUAUUACUCAUGUUCAGGGCAUGCAUGAUUUUGCAUACUAAGCAUUAGCUUAUGUAGUUCUUGCAUUGUAGGUGAACAUGGAACUACAUAGAGAGCAUGGCUAGCUGUGGAGCUCCUACAGGAUUCCAGAGUUCGAUGUACAUGGAUGACGACCUGUAGGGUUAUUUUGUAGGCUGCCAUCUGUAGGGUUAUAUUUUGGAAUCCUAUAUAGUGUACUUUUGAAAUGGCCUAUAGACAUGUUUAUAAGCUCAGAAUAUAUAUGUUGGAU